rnacentral:rRNA from 1 species
CCUACGGGAGGCAGCAGUGAGGAAUAUUGGUCAAUGGGCGAGAGCCUGAACCAGCCAAGUAACGUGAAGGAUGACUGCCCUAUGGUCUGUAAACUUCUUUUAUAAAGGAAUAAAGUGAGGCUCGUGUUCCUUUUUGUAUUUACUUUAUGAAUAAGGAUCGGCUAAACUCGUGCCAGCAGCCGCGGUAAUACGGAGGGUCCGAGCGUUAGCCUGAUUGAUCGGGUUUAAAGGGAGCGUAGAUGGGUUGUUAAGUCAGUUGUGAAAGUUUGCGGCUCAACCGUAAAAUUGCAAUUGAUACUGGCAGCCUUGAGUACAGUUGAGGUAGGCGGAAUUCGUGGUGUAGCGGUGAAAUGCUUAGAUAUCACGAAGAACACCGAUGGCGAAGGCAGCCUACUAAACUGUCACUGACAUCGAUGCUCGAAAGUGUGGGUAUCAAACAGGAUUAGAUACCCGGGUAGUC